UCCUUUUUUAUUUCAACAACCACAAAAGUAGCCCAAAUACCCAUUCCAACAAUAGCCCAUUAUGCCCACUUAACCCACCAGCAAAACCGAUUCCAGCCCAGUGGACAUGACCCGGCCCACAUCCAUAUUUCCCUUUCACUUAUCAGCAACAUUUACUAAUACACGUACAAACAGACCCUCCACAACAUACGCGUUGCAGCAACAGGUACAACACCAACAUCAACAGCUGUUGAAAACAGCGAACAACAGCAACGACGUACAACACCAAACAAUAAUGCACAACAGCUUCAACCAAACGAAUCUCUCUCUCCCCAACGUCUGAAUUUUGCAGAUCUUGAGCUUUGUUAUUUGACUUUUGUUCAAAGAUAGAUUGCUUCCUGCUCCAAAAUCUUAUCCAAAUCAGAAGUAUCACAAUCAAUUCAAAUUUGUGGGAUAUGUUUUCACUCUUUUUCUCAACUUUUUGUCAAGUCCCCAACCACUCCUCGACUAGAAAAGACUCUAUUUUGAAUUUUAAUAGAGAUUUUUCCAAUAUAAAUAGCAGUGGAUGCUUCCAUUUGGGGGCAUUGGCUUUAGAGGAUUCUUGAGGUUUUCUUGGGGGAAAAUUGAGGGUUGUGGAGGUGCGCAACUCUAACCUAGGUAACCAGGAAAAUUCGUCAGAAGUUGUUCGAAUUUCAGUAGCGAAUCGAAACUGCUGUAGACAUUGUUCUGAGUUCGUUUUGUCCCAUCUCGCUGCUCUAAAAAAGUCUCUUGGUCUCCCUUCCCUCACAUUCCGUUGAGUUGAAUCUGAUUUGCAUAGAGUCAAAACCUCAGAUCCAAGUCCCAAGGGGACUGUUUUGUGCUGGUAUAUAGCAGAUUACACCAUUAUACAGGCUUGGAAAAGGGGACAUGGAAAAGGAAGCUGAUUAUGUAGGUGGAAGGCAAAAUAUGUAUAUAUUUGACCAAUAUACGGUCUUAUAUACGCUGUAUAUACUCAAAAACGCAGCAGCAGGAGACGUAAUAUUCAGUCAGUAUACAGCUGGGUAUACAUUGCAGAAAUGGACCAAAAGUCCAAGAAGAAUAGGCCCAGAAGUUGGCCAGAUUUGAAAAGGGCCAAUCUUUAACUCUUUUUCUCUGUAGUUUCCAUUUUAACUUGUUUAUGUGUAUUUAUUUGAACACUCUAACUAAUUAAUCUAGAUAAAUCCCCUAAACCAUUACCAUUUUAUUUUA